rnacentral:rRNA from 1 species
CUUCAUUGGUAUAGUCUAGCCUGCUCACUGAUAAAAUUAUUAAAUAGCCGCGGUAUCUUGACCGUGCAAAGGUAGCAUAAUCAUUAGUUUUUUAAUUGGAAACUAGCAUGAAUGGUUGGACAAAGAAAAAGCUGUCUCUUUCAUUAAAAUUGAAUUUAACUUCUAAGUGAAAAGGCUUAGAUAUCUUAGAGGGACGAUAAGACCCUAUAAAGCUUUAUAAAUUCAAAGAUUUUAUAUAUUUUUUUUAAUAAUGAUAAUUUUUCAAAAAUUUAUUGGGUUGGGGCAACAGAAGUAUAAUUAUCAAUAACUGCUAUAAAGUAUUACAAUUAUUUUUGUUAUUAGAGAGUUGUUGAUCCUCGAAAGGGAUUAAAAGAUCAAGUUACUUUAGGGAUAACAGCGUAAUUUAUCUUGAGAGUUCUUAUCAAAGGAUAAGUUUGCGACCUCGAUGUUGAAUUAAAAUGUCUUUAUAGUGCAGCAGCUAUACAAGAAGGUCUGUUCGACCUUUAAUUUUUUACAUGAUCUGAUUCCAAAACCGGA